rnacentral:lncRNA from 13 species
CACACACACAUGCAUAAUACUCUGCAUUCUGUAGAAUGAUAUUUGAACUCUGGACCAGCCCAUGAGUGUCAAACCAACUGAAAAACAACCCUGAGUCAUUUCUCACCAUCUGGUCUUCUCAAUAGCUUGACCAGUUAAGAGGCAUAUCCAGGGUUGCUCUUUACCCAAUAGUGUGUUUCUUUGUACCGUGAGUGUGCGCGUGUGUGCAUCACCAUGGUUAUUUUAUCUUGCUUCACAUACUUGACAAGUUGGGCAGAAUAGCAAUUGCGUAAAGCUACACAAAUGAUUUAGAUGAAGAGACACAUGUGCAGCAUGUUUGAUGGCUGUUUAUUUCAAUUGACCCAAAGUGUGUGUACAGUAUGUAAACAGUAGUCUCUCUCCUCUCUGCUCAACCCUCUCCAUGAUAUGCAACGUCUCGGACUGAGAACAAACAGCUCAGCUGUGCACCAUUAGAGGGGAUGGCCUUGGAGCUACAUAGGGAAAAUGACAUGCAUGCAGGCAGCCUGCUUGAAAAGACGGACUGAUGCAUACUGACCCUGCCUCUCUCUGCCAACCUGCUCACAGAAUGGGAAUGAGAUGCAAUUUAGUUAUAAGGGAAUUGACUCACCGAAUGCACUCAGAGAGCUGGUGGUGUUCCGUGCAAGUACUUGAGAUGGAUAUGGAAGUGGAUAAUGCCUUGGAUGAGGAUGAAACAAUGGAACUUUAUCCCUUAAAGAAUGGCUGUAGAAGCUACACUGUAGAAAGUACGCCUCCUGCUGGACUGAGCCAUGCAUUGCCACACGGCAGCUCUCCUUUCAAAGAAAAAAAAAUUGUAGAGAUUUAAUGUAAACUGAACAGGAUUCCUUUAGUGAACACAGCCAUCUGUGUUCAAUUAUAUUUUGUGUUUGUUUGUUUGCUGGCUACAAUGAUAAUUCAGUGUAUUUGAAAUUUAUUCGGAAAGGUUCUAGAGUGGUUGACUGUGGGUGAGGGAUUCCCUCAUUUCAUCUUUCUGUGUGUGUACCUACUGUAUGUGUUUCUGCGUUGUUUUUGCACUUUUAGCAUAACCUAUAUGGGCAUGGGCCAGGGCACUAUUUAACCUCCUGCCCAGGUUUAUGCCUUGCUUGAAAAAUGAAAGUGGAUUUGAUCUCACCCCACCUCAUCUUCAGGUCCACUGCUGAUGACGCCAAUAACAAUAUGAGAUCAGAGGAGGACGGGAUUAUUCCUCCUCCAAGACUAUUCUGCCAAAAGACGCCAGGGCAGAUCUCCUACACCCCACUCAGACCACUGGACCCAGCUGUGACACGCCCAAAAUAACUAGACUUAAAAUUUGGAAGGGAUGCCAAACAAUCGUCAAUCACACUGUCUCAAUGCUACUUUUUAAAGACCUACCCUUUUACUUCCUCUUGUGAUUUUAUUUUAGAGUCACUGUGAUUGCCCGGUACCAGCAGAUUACCAUAUAUUCUAAUGAAAUAAAACAUCUAAACUUUAUCUAUAUGUGAAGAUGACAUGUACAGCUGAAGUGUUCAAUGUUACUUAGCGCAUUCGGUUGUGUAUGCUGUCCAUUGCAGGAUGGUUUAACAUGCAGACCAGUGUAAAUGUGGCCGAACAGGCUGUUUGAUCCAUGCUGUUUGAAAUGUUGGAAAUGCCUUGUUGGAAAUGAUUAGUAGAGUUGAGAAGUGGAAGAAUAUCUGAUGUUUUACUGUGUUCUUCUGUAUAGUUCUUUAGAUUCUAGGAGGUUGUUGAGGCAUGAUACUGCACCAGGCAACUUCCUAGCUCCCCUCUGUGUUUGUGUGUGUGUGUGUGUGUGUGUGUGUGUGUGUGUGUGUGUGUGUGUNNNNNNNNNNGGGGGGGGGCAAUUACAUGUGCUAAAAAGUUAAACUGGUAUGGUGGGGGUUGGUUUUCAGGAAUAAUCUUUUUUUUGGUAGAAAUUCAAACAUAAGAAGACAGCAGGAAAAUAUAUUUCUGCAAUGUUCUAGUAUUGGUUAUCAUUAUCAUAUUACUAUUGAGCUAUUCAUUCAGAGCUCCUACGUUCACAUUCAAUAAGGUCUCUAAAGCCACUAGGUGCGUGUUAAAGAGUGACUCUCAGACUGUCCACAGAGGACCGGACAGACAACAUGGUCAGACUGGUUCAUGUGAAGGCUUCUCUCUCAGACAUUCUGCCUACCUGAAAGUGUAAUGAACGGUAACUCAGCUUGGUGUCUUCAUUUCAGUUCUUUAUGGUAGCAGACAGUGACAGGUUGUCCUGUACCCUCCAGAAUAGACAGGUGUGUCUGCCACAUGACAGACGCAGAUGUACGGUUGGUUGGUAUGGGGUCUCUCCAGGGUCCGCUCUGCAGCCCUAAUUAAAUCUAAAAGAAGACCUACAAUAAGAUGGGUUUAGGGACCCCAGGAAAUUGUCAAAUGGGUUAUAUGAAGAUGAUAUGAAGUUUGUGUUUUGUUAGGUUAAUGGGAAUUAUUCUGUAUAGCACUGGUUAAAGACCAGUAUCUCCAACCCUAUCAAAAUAUAAUCAUUUGAUGCAGAAAAACGCAACUUUCCACAAUAAUUUGGACAAGUAUAAACCAUCCUCCAAAUCACACUCUUGAGUGCACUUUGAAGACCCAUUUAUGCAUCACAGAACAUAUGUCUGACACCUAACACAGAACGUAUGUCUGACACCUAACACAGAACGUAUGUCUGACACCUAACACAGAACGUAUGUCUGACACCUAACACAGAACGUAUGUCUGACACCUAACACAGAACGUAUGUCUGACACCUAACACAGAACGUAUGUCUGACACCUAACACAGAACGUAUGUCUGACACCUAACACAGAACGUAUGUCUGACACCUAACACAGAACGUAUGUCUGACACCUAACAACACAUUACAGAUAGGAACAAUUCAAUAGGCUCUCACCUGCUGUAGGCUACUUCAGCUGGCAAAUGAUCUCCAACAAGCCAAUAGGAAACCUGUGAGAAAGAUCNNNNNNNNNNUAUGUCUGACACCUAACACAGAACGUAUGUCUGACACCUAACACAGAACGUAUGUCUGACACCUAACACAGAACGUAUGUCUGACACCUAACACAGAACGUAUGUCUGACACCUAACACAGAACGUAUGUCUGACACCUAACACAGAACGUAUGUCUGACACCUAACACAGAACGUAUGUCUGACACCUAACACAGAACGUAUGUCUGACACCUAACACAGAACGUAUGUCUGACACCUAACAACACAUUACAGAUAGGAACAAUUCAAUAGGCUCUCACCUGCUGUAGGCUACUUCAGCUGGCAAAUGAUCUCCAACAAGCCAAUAGGAAACCUGUGAGAAAGAUCCCUGCUAGAGACAUGUGGCUGUUCCCUCCUCCCCUCCAUGCUGUAAGAGCACAUAUAAAUGAACAGUGUUUUCCUCUUAUUGGUUUGCCUUUUAUGUCAUGGCACCAUCCUUACAGGAAACCAUGGCAUCAGUAUAUGCCCUACUUACCACACAGAGCUGGAAUGUCAAGAUAGAAUACAGGACAUGAUUACCAGUAGAACUACACAUGAAGUCAUAUCCUGGUGUAGGUUUACGGCAGGCCUGGGCCACACAUCAGGUCAGAACGGUAGCACACAUUAUGCACUCAGCUCAGCCAGUUAAAGAGCUGACGUUACCAUAACCAGGCAGUGGCACACUGAGGGAAUGUAUUGUAAAACACAAAAACAUGUUUUCGGUAUGAUGCCACCUCUAAACCUGUUCUUUCCCUCACAGGAAGUCAACUGACUAAAUGUUGUUCAUGUACUGUGAACUGGAGGACAUGGCAAUAAAGAAUCCUUUAGAAGUGAUUGGUGUGUCCAUGUUGUGAUUCUCAAUGUUUCUUUCUUUCUGAGACCUGACAAAGGGCGGUGUUGGGAAGCUGAUAUCACUUUGUUCAAUAUAUCAUUGGGGAUUGUUCUUUUGAUGCUAUUCAGUGUAAUAAAAAGCUACAUAUUGAUAACAAUGUAACAACAAGAUUACAAGUCCUGAUUUGAGGGCAUCAUUAGUUUUACUCUGUCUGGUUAAUGAAAUCUUACACAACUCCUACUGCAGUGAUCCGAUAACUAGACCCUUCAGAACCUACAUUACAUUUGCUGUAAUCAGCAUCAUUCAUGUAACUGAUACAAUCACAAGUAAAUCUCGUACUCUGAGGCCCUUUCUAUAGGUGACUGUACAGACUAGAUAUGAAGUUUCUUUCCAAAAUGCUAUAUCAACCAAUUUUUCAAAUUUGUGUUUUUUUCAUCAGAAAUGAUUGCUUAUGGGGACCUUCAUGUGUGUAUAAAAUAUUAUUGUUCUCUGAUUUUUUAUUCAUAGAUUUGAGAUGGUUAUGAAAAUGUUAAUUUUUUAUUUUUUAAACACUAUAUACCCAGUGUUUAGCUGGAAUGGAAUGUUC